CAGUUCGGACUGUGGUCUGCAACCCGACCACACGAAGCUGGAAUCGCUAGUAAUCGUGAAUCAGCAUGCCGCGGUGAAUACGUUCCCGGGCCUUGUACACACCGCCCGUCACACCAUGAGAGUCGGGAACACCCGAAGUCCGUAGUCUAACCGCAAGGAGGGCGCGGCCGAAGGUGGGUCCGGUAAUUGGGGUGAAGUCGUAACAAGGUAGC
rnacentral:rRNA from 1 species